rnacentral:rRNA from 1 species
AGCGAACGCUGGCGGCAUGCCUAACACAUGCAAGUCGAACGGUGAACGAGGGAGCUUGCUCCCUCCGGAUCAGUGGCGAACGGGUGAGUAACACGUGAGCAAUCUGCCCUGGACUCUGGGAUAAGCGUUGGAAACGACGUCUAAUACCGGAUACGAGGCGUGGGGGCAUCCCCAACGCCUGGAAAGAACUUCGGUCCAGGAUGAGCGCGCGGCCUAUCAGCUAGUUGGUGAGGUAACGGCUCACCAAGGCGACGACGGGUAGCCGGCCUGAGAGGGUGACCGGCCACACUGAGACUGAGACACGGCCCAGACUCCUACGGGAGGCAGCAGUGGGGAAUAUUGCACAAUGGGCGCAAGCCUGAUGCAGCAACGCCGCGUGAGGGACGACGGCCUUCGGGUUGUAAACCUCUUUUAGCAGGGAAGAAGCGAAAGUGACGGUACCUGCAGAAAAAGCACCGGCUAACUACGUGCCAGCCGCCGCGGUAACAC